GCAUCGCCAAAUGACAUUAAAUAAGAUGAAAAAUGAAUGGAGUUGAGAGGCGCAUUCCAGGUCCGCCUCCACCGCCCUUAUGCGAAUCCUUCAAAAGGACUGCGUCGCAAGAUGACCAAGAGGAUGGAGAGCGAGAAACCUUUACUCUAGAAAAUCUCGACGAUAAGGAAGAAUAAGGGAAAAUUGGAUGCUGCAACCGAGAUCGAAUCAGGGCAGGGCCACCCGCUCAAAAAAUGAAGGGCGGUCAAUAACCUAAAAGAAGAGGCAUUUUCCCU
rnacentral:lncRNA from 1 species